rnacentral:pre_miRNA from 1 species
AAGUUGUGUGACAUGCCCGUUUUGGUGAUAUACUCCGAUGAUUAUUUAUUAUUUAAUUGCUUUGGGAUAACGGAGUGUUACAAAGAC